rnacentral:rRNA from 1 species
UCCGUAGGUGAACCUGCGGAAGGAUCAUUAUAGAGUUUGCGCGGUUGAUGCUGGGUUCUUACAAGUGCACGCCGUGUCUUUCUUAUCCACCCCACCGUGCAUCCCGGCGCGCCUCGUCUUUCGACGGGGGGCGGUCCGUUUUUUUACACCUUACCUUUUGUAACCGAGCGAAUGAAAUUGAUUUAACAAUGUACAACUAUCAACAACGGAUCUCUUGGCAUCCCACUCGAUGAAGAACGCAGCGAAUUGCGAUAAGUAAUGUGAAUUGCAGAAUUCAGUGAAUCAUCGAAUCUUUGAACGCACCUUGCGCCCUCUGGUAUUCCGGAGAGCAUGCCCGGUUGAGUAUUAUGAUCAUCUCAAACCUUUCGUUUCUGAUUGCAAAGGUCUUGCGUUUGGCGAAGUCGUCUAUCGAGACGGUGGUAGCUGAACUUGGACUUGGAAGCGUAUUGGUCUUGGACUUGAGCGUCUCGUCGGUCCGCUUGGAUCGACCCGCUUGAAAUGUAUUAGCUGGCGACCCGCCUUACGGUUCCACUCGGCGUAGUAAGUCUUAUUCGUCGAGGACGCCUCUUACGAGGUGGCCUAUGGGUUUGGUGUGAUGCCGCUUCCAGUCGUCUUUGGACAGUCUUGAACCUUUAAUCUCAACUCGGGUAGGACUACCCGCUGAACUUAAGCAUAUCAAUAAGCGGAGGA